rnacentral:rRNA from 1 species
AGUGAACGCUGGCGGUAGGCCUAACACAUGCAAGUCGAACGGCAGCACAGUAAGAGCUUGCUCUUACGGGUGGCGAGUGGCGGACGGGUGAGGAAUACAUCGGAAUCUACUUUUUCGUGGGGGAUAACGUAGGGAAACUUACGCUAAUACCGCAUACGACCUACGGGUGAAAGCAGGGGAUCUUCGGACCUUGCGCGAUUGAAUGAGCCGAUGUCGGAUUAGCUAGUUGGCGGGGUAAAGGCCCACCAAGGCGACGAUCCGUAGCUGGUCUGAGAGGGUGAUCGGCCACACUGGAACUGAGACACGGUCCAGACUCCUACGGGAGGCAGCAGUGGGGAAUAUUGGACAAUGGGCGCAAGCCUGAUCCAGCCAUGCCGCGUGAGUGAAGAAGGCCUUCGGGUUGUAAAGCCCUUUUGUUGGGAAAGAAAAGCAGCGGGUUAAUACCCCGCUGUUCUGACGGUACCCAAAGAAUAAGCACCGGCUAACUUCGUG